rnacentral:rRNA from 1 species
GACGAACGCUGGCGGCGUGCUUAACACAUGCAAGUCGAACGGUGAAGGGAUCAGCUUGCUGGUUCUGGAUGAGUGGCGAACGGGUGAGUAACACGUGAGUAACCUGCCCCCUUCUUCUGGAUAACCGCAUGAAAGUGUGGCUAAUACGGGAUAUUCUGCGCCUGCUGCAUGGUGGGUGUGGGAAAGAUAUUGUUUCGGUGGGGGAUGGGCUCGCGGCCUAUCAGCUUGUUGGUGGGGUGAUGGCCUACCAAGGCGGUGACGGGUAGCCGGCCUGAGAGGGUGGACGGUCACACUGGGACUGAGACACGGCCCAGACGCCUACGGGAGGCAGCAGUGGGGAAUAUUGCACAAUGGGCGCAAGCCUGAUGCAGCGACGCCGCGUGAGGGAUGGAGGCCUUCGGGUUGUGAACCUCUUUCGCCAGUGAAGCAGGCCUGUCCCGUGUGGGUGGGUUGACGGUAGCUGGAUAAGAAGCGCCGGCUAACUACGUG